rnacentral:rRNA from 1 species
GAUGGGGAGGGGGAGAUUUAGGAAAGGAGGAGCAUUGA